UCCGAAUUAGUGUAGGGGUUAACAUAACUCGCUUUCAUAUCUCUCCUCCUUCUUUCGAAGCAGUAAAGAACUGAUCCGAGUAGCCCCGGGUUCGAUUCCCGGAUUCGGAA